rnacentral:lncRNA from 13 species
AUGUACUGUUUAAGUAAAUUUGUUUUUAAAUGAAUGAAUGAAAAAAAAAAAAAACCUGAGUGGACCUCACAUUUAAUCCUUCGACAGAGCACACACUUUUGUUGUGGUAAAGAUUCCCUGGAACUGCAUCAAAACCAGUCACCUUCUACACUGCACCAUGUUCAAGCUGUCACAGCUCUUUGGCCAAUAUUGAUUCUCCCUUCCACGACAUGCCA